rnacentral:rRNA from 1 species
GACGAACGCUGGCGGCGUGCCUAAUACAUGCAAGUAGAACGCUGAAGCUUGGUGCUUGCACCGAGCGGAUGAGUUGCGAACGGGUGAGUAACGCGUAGGUAACCUGCCUGGUAGCGGGGGAUAACUAUUGGAAACGAUAGCUAAUACCGCAUAAGAGUAGAUGUUGCAUGACAUUUGCUUAAAAGGUGCAAUUGCAUCACUACCAGAUGGACCUGCGUUGUAUAGCUAGUUGGUGAGGUAACGGCUCACCAAGGCGACGAUACAUAGCCGACCUGAGAGGGUGAUCGGCCACACUGGGACUGAGACACGGCCCAGACUCCUACGGGAGGCAGCAGUAGGGAAUCUUCGGCAAUGGACGGAAGUCUGACCGAGCAACGCCGCGUGAGUGAAGAAGGUUUUCGGAUCGUAAAGCUCUGUUGUAAGAGAAGAACGAGUGUGAGAGUGGAAAGUUUCACACUGUGACGGUUUUUACCA